UUCCUCCACGGGGCACAAGCCCGGGAGUCAGGGCAGGGGGCCCGGUGCCCACAGACCCAAGGGCACCGCAGGUGGGACACUUCUGUCCAGAUCAGCAUCAGUGUGGGCUGUGGGGUCUGCAGGGACAUUUCAUUCUGCCGGUGGUGCUAAAUUUAAUGUUGUCACCAGAGGAACCAGCUCUUGUGUUCACUUGGUGACCGAGUGUGGUGGGUGGAGUCGACGCUGACCUGCGUGGACUCGGGAGCCUGCCGUUCGUGGCCCUGGCACACGUGCCUCUGACGCCUUGAGGCUCAGCGGAGAGUCUCGGAUUUCGGCCUCGGCCCGCGCUGGCUGCAGUGCCGCCCUCAUCGGACACGGCGCUUGUCCGUGGCCUCUGCCCUCCAGAAAGCACCGUGCUUCUGUGGCUUAGGUAUCUACCAGGCAUGGAGAAAACACUAAACUUUCCACCAAAACCCUGGAAUUUUGCUCUCAGACCUGCGUCCCAAGUGCCCUGGCACGCCGAGUCACAUUCCAGCCGCGGCGGAUCAGCCCGGGCGGCUCAGAUGCAUUACAAGUAGAUGAGAAAAUAUGAAAAUAAAAGCCUCCCUAAGUGAAGCCAUACUGGUUUUUCUUCCACUGUGAAAUAAAUAAAAUAAUGUUUUUCUUUCACAGAUA